rnacentral:rRNA from 1 species
CUACGGGGCGCUGCAGUGAGGAAUAUUGGACAAUGGAGGAAACUCUGAUCCAGCCAUGCCGCGUGAGUGAAGAAGGCCUUAGGGUUGUAAAGCUCUUUCAACGGUGAAGAUAAUGACGGUAGCCGUAGAAGAAGCCCCGGCUAAAUUCGUGCCAGCAGCCGCGGUAAUACGAAUGGGGCAAGCGUUGUUCGGAAUCACUGGGCUUAAAGCGUAUGUAGGCGGAUCCACAAGUCAGGAGUGAAAUCCCGGGGCUCAACCCCGGAACUGCUCUUGAAACUGUAGAUCUAGAAUCCGGGAGGGGUCAGUAGAAUUCCUAGUGUAGAGGUGAAAUUCGCAGAUAUUAGGAGGAAUACCAGUGGCGAAGGCGACUGACUGGACCGGUAUUGACGCUCAGAUACGAAAGCGUGGGGAGCAAACAGGAUUAGAUACCCGUGUAGUC